UUUGGAUUAAAAGAGACUAAAACGAUGUGACAAUGAAAUGCAAUGUGUGAGCCUGUCUCGAAUUGGAUCCUAGACCAGAAAAAGGACAUUUGAAGGGAAACUGGUGCAAUUUGAAAGGGACCUGCAGAUUAGACAAUAGAGUGCCUCAAGGGAAUUCCGCCAAAGUCUGCUCCGCAAAGCACGAGCAAAUGUUCAGGGUCUGGAGACAGUAGAUUGCUCCAGGAGAAAUAUGAAGGAGCCACCGUGAUUCCAUAUCUGCCUGGGAACUCUUUUAAGCUGCUGAGGUCAGAAGAGAUUUGCAAAGCCCUCCAAGAGACUUUACCGAAAGACAUCGUGUGCUGGGGGUUAAUGUUUUUCUUCAUUAGUUGUGUUUGUAGCUUCUUGAAAUUAUUGUAUAUGGACUGGCACCCGCCUCAGCCUCCAGUCAUCAGCACAACUGCAUCGGGGGAUGGCCUCCUGGCUUCAUCUAUCAAACAAGCCACUGUCUGCAGACGUUCUGGGAUUUGUUGUAUUUGGGGUUAAACGGGGGAGGAGGGAAAAUUAACGGGUUUCUAUAAAGAAUCACUUCUCUGGUUCUCGUUAAAGCUCUGAGGGUCACAGGAAAUCUCUGGUUUCAAACAACUGUAUGUGGCGUGAUCCUGUUUACUUGAAAUGUCUAGCUGAGACCUAGCUUUGCCACAUUAAUACUAAAUAAGUAAUAUCCAC
rnacentral:lncRNA from 1 species